rnacentral:rRNA from 1 species
AUUGAACGCUGGCGGCAGGCCUAACACAUGCAAGUCGAGCGGAUGAAGGGAGCUUGCUCCUGGAUUCAGCGGCGGACGGGUGAGUAAUGCCUAGGAAUCUGCCUGGUAGUGGGGGAUAACGUCCGGAAACGGGCGCUAAUACCGCAUACGUCCUGAGGGAGAAAGUGGGGGAUCUUCGGACCUCACGCUAUCAGAUGAGCCUAGGUCGGAUUAGCUAGUUGGUGGGGUAAAGGCCUACCAAGGCGACGAUCCGUAACUGGUCUGAGAGGAUGAUCAGUCACACUGGAACUGAGACACGGUCCAGACUCCUACGGGAGGCAGCAGUGGGGAAUAUUGGACGAUGGGCGAAAGCCUGAUCCAGCCAUGCCGCGUGUGUGAAGAAGGUCUUCGGAUUGUAAAGCACUUUAAGUUGGGAGGAAGGGCAGUAAGUUAAUACCUUGCUGUGUUGACGUUACCAACAGAAUAAGCACCGGCUAACUUCGUG